CACAGAGCGGGUGAUGUCGUCACCCGUCUUUGCAUCGUAGACGAGGAAGUCCUCGCCCUCCUUCACCAUGGCCGCGAGGUCUUCAAGCGUCACAUAGGUGCUGGUGCCGGUGUUGUAGAGGCGCCGAUUGGCGUACUUCUUGAUGGUAAUUGGCUGAUCGGAUUUUGCCAUGGACUCACACAUACCUAGCGAAAAGAGGAACCGGCGAAUGUCGCCGAGGGCAGUGCAAACAAUGCAUCGCAAUAAACUAAGCACUUUCAGAA
rnacentral:misc_RNA from 1 species